rnacentral:rRNA from 1 species
UAGGGAAUCUUCGGCAAUGGGGGGAACCCUGACCGAGCAACGCCGCGUGAGUGAAGAAGGUUUUCGGAUCGUAAAGCUCUGUUGUUAAGGAAGAACGAGUGUGAGAAUGGAAAGUUCAUACUGUGACGGUACUUAACCAGAAAGGGACGGCUAACUACGUGCCAGCAGCCGCGGUAAUACGUAGGUCCCGAGCGUUGUCCGGAUUUAUUGGGCGUAAAGCGAGCGCAGGCGGUUAGAUAAGUCUGAAGUUAAAGGCAGCGGCUCAACCAUUGUAGGCUUUGGAAACUGUUUAACUUGAGUGCAGAAGGGGAGAGUGGAAUUCCAUGUGUAGCGGUGAAAUGCGUAGAUAUAUGGAGGAACACCAGUGGCGAAGGCGACUCUCUGGUCUGUAACUGACGCUGAGGCUCGAAAGCGUGGGUAGCAAACAGG